AAAGGUGAUUUGCAAACACAAUUUCAAAAAGAGGUAAUUUCAACAUCAGAAGGUUGUGAAGAAAACAGAAGAAUGAGACAUUUGACUGCGUGUAAAUCUUCUAAGGAAAGACACCACCAGCUUGCAGACAUUGUGAGAAGGUGGCCAUUGGCAAGCCGGGAAAAGAGCUCUCACCAGAACCCAGCCAUGCUGACACUCUGAUCUCCAAUUUGCAGCCUUCAGAACUAUCUGUGGGCUAAAAGAAGUUGAUGAAGACAGGCUUCCACUAUAUUUCAGCUUUAAACCUUUGAGAUUUGCUCUUCCCUCUGAGUCUCAA